AUGUUUUGCAGAGAUUUGAGAUUCAACAAGAUAAAGGAGGUCACUGCUAAUACUUUUAAAAAUCUCAAACACUUGAAUACACUAUUGCUAAACAACAAUCAUAUUACGAAGAUAGAAGAUAAUGCGUUUACAGGCCUGAAGGAAUUGCGAUACUUAUAUUUAUACAAAAAUAGAAUUAGAACUAUUGGACAGGAUGCUUUUCGGGGACUGGAGAAGUUGGAACAGUUGUA